AACGAACGCUGGCGGCAUGCCUAACACAUGCAAGUCGAACGAGACCUUCGGGUCUAGUGGCGCACGGGUGCGUAACGCGUGGGAAUCUGCCCUUGGGUUCGGAAUAACAGCGAGAAAUUGCUGCUAAUACCGGAUGAUGACGUAAGUCCAAAGAUUUAUCGCCCAAGGAUGAGCCCGCGUAGGAUUAGCUAGUUGGUGGGUGAGGUAAAGGCUCACCAAGGCGACGAUCCUUAGCUGGUCUGAGAGGAUGAUCAGCCACACUGGGACUGAGACACGGCCCAGACUCCUACGGGAGGCAGCAGUGGGGAAGUAUUGGACAAUAGGGCGGAAAGACCUGAUACCAGCAAUAGCCGCGUGAGUGAUGAAGG
rnacentral:rRNA from 1 species